AUUGCAGCCCGACCUGAGUGGAAAUCCUUUUUUUGCGAUGGAAAAAGCCAAGGCAAAAAGAUUGGGAACGGAGGGCGGAAAUAGCU
rnacentral:sRNA from 1 species